UAGUCUAGUAGUUAAGGCUAUGGAUCGCCAAUCCAGAGACGGCGGGUUCGAUUCCCGU
rnacentral:tRNA from 1 species